GUGACUGAAGUUCAGACGUGUACUCUUCCGCUGAAUUUGGUUUAGCAACUCCACAGUAGAUGGCCACAAUUAAAGGAGCAAAGUUGUGAAAGUUGCAGAGUAUGGGACACAUUUGGAAGUUGGAGGAUUUAAAAAGUGGCACACCAUCAAUGUUAAAGCACAAAUGUAGGUGCUCAACGAUUCCUGGAUGCUAAGACAAAUGUUUGGUUUUGGAGUAGCAUUGUCGAGAAUGGUCAGAAAAAUCUACCAUGAAGUUUGUAAAUUAAAGGAUGGAAAAGGUAUGGGAUUUUGAAAUAGAAAAUGUGUAGGAACCCUGUUAAAAGAAACCUUUUCUCUUCACCUUGUCUCUCUCCAUUCAACUGGAUCUCUCAAUGUUCUCCAACAUUCCAUUACUUGUUACUACAUUGUACAUGUUGUCAUACAUUGUUCAUAUUUAGCCAUAUUUAUUCUGCCCUUAUAAGAUAACUACUAAUACACUGCACAUAUUUAAUUUAUAUUACUCUAAACCACCUUC